rfam:Oryza barthii chromosome 2, whole genome shotgun sequence.
AAAAAGACAAAUCCUGGGUUUUCAUGUCCAACUUUAACUGUUUGUUUUAUAUGAAUUUUUUUUAUAAUUCGUAUUUUCAUUGUUGCUAGAUGAUAAAACAUGAUUAAUAUUUUAUGCGUGACUUGUCUUUUUAAUUUUUUUCAUAAUUUUUUUAAAUAAGAUGGACGGUCAAACAUUGGUUACGAAAAUCAGGGUUUGUCUUUUU